AAGGAUCAUUGUCGAUGCCCCGAUCCAGAGAGACCCGCGAACGCGUUCCAUUACCGGGGACGGACGGAGCUGCUCGCCAGCCCGCCUUCCAUCCCCGCAUGUCGGGACCGAGCCACGCUCCGCGGUCUCGUCCCGGCGCAACAACAACAACAAACCCCGGCGCGGAAUGCGCCAAGGAAGCAACAAUUGCAAAGCGCGCCCCGACGGCCCGGCAGCGGUGCUCGUACGGGCGGCGUCGCAACACUCGAGUCCAUAACGACUCUCGGCAACGGAUAUCUCGGCUCUUGCAUCGAUGAAGAACGCAGCGAAAUGCGAUACUUGGUGUGAAUUGCAGAAUCCCGUGAACCAUCGAGUCUUUGAACGCAAGUUGCGCCCGAAGCCAUUAGGCCAAGGGCACGCCUGCCUGGGUGUCACUAAUCGUCGCCCCCAGCCCCCUGUGCCCGUGGCCAGGGAGCGGGGGCGAAUGCUGGCUUCCCGUGAGCACCGCCUCGCGGUUGGUCGAAAAUCGGGCCCGUGGUGGACGCAGCACCAUGGCAGACGGUGGUUGAGCACGCUCUCGAGGCCAGCCAUGCGUGCCGCCUCCACCAGCUACGUGCCCAGUGACCCGCGAGCGACGUCGAUCGCCCAUGACGCGACCUCAGGUCAGGC
rnacentral:misc_RNA from 1 species